GACGUAGGGCGCGAGCGUUGUCCGGAUUUAUUGGGCGUAAAGAGCUCGUAGGCGGCCACGCGUGUCUUUCGUGAAAUCCCUCGGCUUAACUGAGGACGUGCGGAAGAAACUGCGAGGCUUGAGUCCGGGAGAGGGGGGUGGAAUUCCCAGUGUAGCGGUGAAAUGCGCAGAUAUCAGGAGGAACACCAAUGGCGAAGGCAGCACUCUGGGACGUGACUGACGCUGAGACGCGAAAGCGUGGGGAGCAAACAGG
rnacentral:rRNA from 1 species